CAGCUAUAUGCCAUAUAUAGCUAAAUGGAGGAUCAUUGGUUUAGAACUGAUAGAUACCACUCACUCCCCCUCCCAUCGUGUAUCCAAAAGUGUGUAAUGAUGACACUACAUUCUGUAGGGGGGUUUAAACAAGAGCCCCCUUUCUCUGUUAACCAAUUGGUGAAUGUAUACUGUAUGUUUAAACUGUGACGUAUUUUUGCUUUAAGAAGGAGCCCCCACUCCGGGGAAUAAAGCAUUCCUGGGUUUUUCACUGAUCAGAAACUUUGUCUCCGGUGUGAAUUACUUCUAGGGAAAGCGUGCACGCAUUAAUUAAACAAUUUGGAAGGUGUAGAUAGACAAAUAAUCAAAGUUUUCUUUGAUCCAAAACAAUUUGGUGGAGAAUGCGGGCAUUUAAGGGAUACGUUACUAAGGCAGCCGUCAGAUCCCAAGACAGGAGAGCAAAGGAUUCCCAGAGAUUGGAAACGGAGCCUGAUCACCUCUGCAUAUGGUAAAUGAGUUACUUACCUAUAUUUUCCUUUCUUUGGAUUUCUCUUGUUCUCCGUGCCUUCACAUUCGGCUUCCGGUGUUUAACGUCUUCAGACAGGUAAUAUAUAUAUGCCCGAAUGUCCCCUUUUAUAUAGAACCUGUCACUUGUCUAUCUACAGCCUGAGUCCUGAGUGUGAGUUUUAUGUGUGAAAGUGUCUGUUUGAGAAUCUGUUUUACUACUUGCUUAAUACUGUUAUAUAAUGCUGCCAAGUGUGGUUAAGCACUUGCAGGUUUAGCCAAGUUCGGGUUUGGUGGAAAACCCCUGGC